rnacentral:rRNA from 1 species
CCCUUCGAUGUUCUGGGCCGCACGCGCGCUACACUGAUCGAGUCAACAAGUUUACAACCUUCUCCGAAAGGAGUGGGUAAUCUUUUGAAACUCGAUCGUGAUAGGGAUAGAUGAUUGCAAUUAUUAAUCUUCAACGAGGAAUGCCUAGUAGGCGCAAGUCAUCAGCUUGCGUCGAUUACGUCCCUGCCCUUUGUACACACCGCCCGUCGCUACUACCGAUUGAAUGGUUCAGUGAGAUAAUCGGAUAGGUAACUCGGUGGGCAGCAAUGUUUACCAAGCAUACAUAGAAGACGAUCAAACUCAGUCAUUUAGAGGAAGUAAAAGUCGUAACA